CUGCGCCUUCGGACUCGGUCCGCCCAACGGGUGUGAACUGGGAUCCAAGGCUUAUACUGCUGGUUUUCCCUUGAUGCUCUUUACUGGGUGUCUUGGGUGGCUAGCGAGUUUACUUUGAAAAAAUUAGAGUGCUCAACACAGGCUAACGCCUGAAUACUCGUGCAUGGAAUAAUAGAAUAAGACCACGGUUCUAUUUUAUUGGUUUUCGGAACUGUGAUAAUGGUUAAGAGGGACAGACGGGGGCAUUCGUAUCGCUGCGUGAGAGGUGAAAUUC
rnacentral:rRNA from 1 species